GAAGAAUGCUUAUAUUUGAUACAUUCAUGAAAUACCUUAUUGAUGUGUGACGUGUGAUGUGAUUAGAGGUUGUGUGGUCCUACCUUCAGUGGUCAGCUGCAGAGUAUAACUGCCUUUAUUAUUCCCGUUUGCAUCAAAGGUGUCUAAAGUGUAUGUUCCAGAGUCGCUCCUCUCUGCACUGGUUAGUAUCAUGGUUUUAUUAUCUUUAACAAACUGCCAUCUUGGGUGAUUUGGUUUUGGUGGGUUACUUUGGGUUUUUCUAUAUCUUAAAAUUAAACGAGUGGUAGAUGUCUUGUCUGUGAUCUUUAGUUCAAACCCAUCCUCCAGGGGCAUUUGCAGGUGCAGUCGUUGUCCCAGAGCUACAUAACACUGACUACUCUCAUUAAAUCUACAGACAACAGGAUCCUGAAACAGCAAACCUGCAGAAGAAGAAAAAUCAGGAACAUUCUUAAUAUUAUUACACACCUUGUUAUCUUCUAAUAAAUGACACUCCAUAAUGACACACACACACAGCUGGAUUCAAUAAAGAAAAGAAAGUGGGAAUAAUUGCACAUAUUUAGUGAAAGAAGAAGUGUGUGUGUGCGUGUGUGUGUGUGUGUGCGUGUGGUUCUUAGGCUUUGUGUGUGUGUGUGUGGGGGGGGGGGGGGGGGGUUGUUUUAACGUUUGUUGUCAAACAUCAUUUGAUUGAUGAAGACAUUCACAGAAAAAAAAUAUUUUGCACUUUUGAAGUGCAGGAAGU
ensembl:lncRNA